rnacentral:rRNA from 1 species
UGGGGAAUCUUGGACAAUGGGGGCAACCCUGAUCCAGCGACGCCGCGUGGGUGAAGAAGGCCUUAGGGUUGUAAAUCCCUUUCACCGGGGAGGAUGAUGACGUUACCCGGAUAAGAAGCACCGGCUACCUCCGUGCCAGCAGCCGCGGUAAGACGGAGGGUGCUAGCGUUGUUCGGAAUCACUGGGCGUAAAGGGCGCGUAGGCGGCUUGGUCAGUCAGAUGUGAAAGCCCGGGGCUCAACCUCGGAACGGCAUUUGAUACUCCCAAGCUAGUGAUCGAAAGAGGAGAGUGGAAUACCCAGUGGAGAGGAGAAAUUCGUAGAUAUUGGGUGGAACACCAGUGGCGAAAGCGGCUCUCUGGUUCGAUACUGACGCUGAGGCGCGAAAGCGUGGGGAGCAAACAGGAUUAGAUACCCCGGUAGUCC